UAGGGAAUCUUCGGCAAUGGGGGCAACCCUGACCGAGCAACGCCGCGUGAGUGAAGAAGGUUUUCGGAUCGUAAAGCUCUGUUGUAAGUCAAGAACGGGUGUGAGAGUGGAAAGUUCACACUGUGACGGUAGCUUACCAGAAAGGGACGGCUAACUACGUGCCAGCAGCCGCGGUAAUACGUAGGUCCCGAGCGUUGUCCGGAUUUAUUGGGCGUAAAGCGAGCGCAGGCGGUUUGAUAAGUCUGAAGUUAAAGGCUGUGGCUCAACCAUAGUUCGCUUUGGAAACUGUCAAACUUGAGUGCAGAAGGGGAGAGUGGAAUUCCAUGUGUAGCGGUGAAAUGCGUAGAUAUAUGGAGGAACACCGGUGGCGAAAGCGGCUCUCUGGUCUGUAACUGACGCUGAGGCUCGAAAGCGUGGGGAGCGAACAGGAUUAGAUACCCUGGUAGUCCACGCCGUACGAUGAGUGCUAGGUGUUGGAUCCUUUCCGGGAUUCAGUGCCGCAGCUAACGCAUUAGCACUCCGCCUGGGGAGUACACCCAAGUG
rnacentral:rRNA from 1 species